rnacentral:rRNA from 1 species
AUUGAACGCUGGCGGCAGGCCUAACACAUGCAAGUCGAGCGGAUGAAGAGAGCUUGCUCUCUGAUUUAGCGGCGGACGGGUGAGUAAUGCCUAGGAAUCUGCCUGGUAGUGGGGGAUAACGUCCGGAAACGGGCGCUAAUACCGCAUACGUCCUACGGGAGAAAGCAGGGGACCUUCGGGCCUUGCGCUAUCAGAUGAGCCUAGGUCGGAUUAGCUAGUUGGUGAGGUAAUGGCUCACCAAGGCGACGAUCCGUAACUGGUCUGAGAGGAUGAUCAGUCGCACUGGAACUGAGACACGGUCCAGACUCCUACGGGAGGCAGCAGUGGGGAAUAUUGGACAAUGGGCGAAAGCCUGAUCCAGCCAUGCCGCGUGUGUGAAGAAGGUCUUCGGAUUGUAAAGCACUUUAAGUAGGGAGGAAGAGUUGAGUGUUAAUAGUACUCAGCUUUGACGUUACCUACAGAAGAAGCACCGGCUAACUCUGUGCCAGCAGCCGCAGUAACAC